UUGGGGCGUGGCCAAAGGCCUUGCGUGAUAAAGUGUCGGUGUUGUCGGAUGAUUCAAAGGCCAAGGGUGACUGACGUGUUGUGACACUUGAUGUGCUGUGUGGCUGUGGGCCAAAGUGCCCUGGAGCCUUUUCCAGGUGGAAUGUCGAAAAAGUGCACCAGUCUGUUGAGUUUGAAUAUCGUUCACACACAGAUACGUUCGACAGGAUGAGUGAGAGGCAUCAAGCAGAUGAGGAACAUUGAGGGUUAGGCUUGGCUGGCGUAUCAAGCUAGCACCUAGCUAUCUCCUCGUGCAUCAUGCCAUUCGAGUCCAUUCUCCAACCAACAUAUGUUGCAAGUCAGCCAACGAGGUUACGUUGGUCACUCUGGCACGAAAAGAACGCCCAAGAUGAUCCCACAAGUGCUCAACAGAGUUGAGGUCAGGAUCGCUGGCAGGUCAUCCCAUCCUCUUUGCUGCCAAAUUCUGGAGGUAGUCUCUGACAAAGCCCUACUCUGUGGGGGUGAAGGAUAGACAGUGCAAUAUGGGAUUGCCACCGGUCAGAUCAUAUCAUUUUGAUAUGGCAGUGUGUUGAGAUGCUGCCUCACAUGCUCACAGCCUCCAGCCAAAGAUGUGACACUAUCCGUGCAGCAAUCAGUACUGUGUUCUCUGUAUCUUCUCUAAAUCUUAACCGUAUGACCCAGAAUCACACAACUUUGGUUCCAGUGCACAUGUUGCUAAGUCAGUUUUGGAUUGACCGGACAGAGAACCGCUGGCUCAUCCUGCAAAGUUUGUAUUGAACUUUGCCUUCAAUUUGGAGAUGGGGCUCAUUUCAAACAAUGCUGCAAGUCACAUCACCUUGAAGUUGCCAUGUCACACAGGCCCCAUCUAGAGAUCCAGAUCAGUCAAAUGCGGUGUGCCGAUUCUUGGAGGAAACACCUUUUGGCGCCUGAUUGGCAGCGCAUGGUGGUACCAACCGCUCAAAAACAAUGGUAAUAAGAUGUUUGGUAAUUGGUCAUGGACACAACACACAUACUGAGCUUUGCUGUUCAUCCCACCAACAUUCGUUAUUUGAAUUAUUAUUAUUUUUGUUCCUAUCAACCCCGAAUGAACAAGAUUUUUUUUCUUGACUUGAUCAAUUCCAUCAAUUAGUUGUCAUAAAUCAUAUCAUCCUAAUUUAUCUAGGCCCUACUUCCAUUGAAACGACUACUUCAAUGCAUGUGCAGUAUUACUUCAUGCCAACUGACAACUUUUUAUUUUAUUUCACAUCCUCAUUUUGUAUUGUUUCCUGCAAUAGUAGUAAAUGUCUUUUGUAGCAUUCAAGUGUUUUAUAAAAAUGACAAAGAAAUGAACAAUCCUGUCGUACUCACUCACCACUAUCUGGAAGUGUUGACUGCGUCUCUCUGCUGAAGCCCCCGGGCUCCCUGUACGCCGAAUGCGGGUACGUGUACUCGCUUUUUCCGCAUGGGAAGGCGCCACCGGGGACCAUACCGUUCAGGUUGUAGUGGGUGUACGCGUAAGGGCUCAUGUGUUGAGUCGAGUAAGACUGCUGCGCUGCGUAAAAAUCCUGCGAGCCAUGGAGCGCGCCGUGGGCGCCGUAGAAGCCCAUAUCCGCGGGUGAAGUCUCCGCCAGGCUCGGGGACGCGCGGAGGUUGGGUUUCUUCUCCUCGAAGGCAGGUGAUGGUUGCCCGUUCAUUGUUCACGACGUGUUCAGUAAUGCUCAAGACAAAGAGACAAGAGUGUGGAGCUGGCGUUCCCAAGUUGUCCACGGUGGCGGCGCCCAGCCCACAAGUUGGAGCUCCUAAUUACAGGGCGCGCCGAGCUGAGCCAAGCCGGGCAGGAGAGAAGGAGUGGAUGUCUCCCUCUCAUUGGUUCCCCCCUCGCACUCCCCAGCCUCUGCCCCGGGGCCAAGACGGCACUGCUUGUCGCCUGUCUGACUCCCUUCUUCUCCCCGCAGAAACCUCCAGUGAACCUCUCCCUAAAGCCUUCAAGACACAGAGGCGCACUAGCAACCAAGCAAUCCCAAAACAAACAGAAAAGAAAAAAAAGGCAGCUCACCUGAAUAUGCAGCAAAAAGUUUUGACAUUUCAAGAGAAGGGCAAAAAAGAAAUACUCAUAAUAGCUGAGUAGUGUAAGGAAGAUUUUUACUUUGGCAGUGGGAAUAAAUAUACCCAUUUAGCAAACAAAGAUAAUGGUGUGGUGAUAAGGUAUGUUUACGCAUUGGCUUUGCUCCUAUUCAAAUGGAGAUGCUGCUUGUAGAAUCACAUUGAGAGUCAAUCAGGCUUUCUUUCCAUGUGUCGACUUGAGCCCCCGGGCCUCCAUCACGCCCCGGAGGGGAGCCAACCAAGCUUUAUGCAGUGGACCUACAAUAAACCCAAAAGUAUAGGUCUGCAAAAAAAAGUCCCACUGGGAUCCUAAAAGCAAAGACUAGGCUGAAUUAAUUGGCUGAAAUAGCAAAGCUAUGAUGGUUCUCUAAACAUUAUAGGGAAUUUUGGUCUGAAGAUUAUUUCGGAUAAAUAAAGUUAACAAUGAUGACAAAGAUGCACAGCCAGGUGUUUAUUUGUAUUUUAUGGAGUUUACCCUGUUGUAAAUGUGUUUGUGGAUGAACAUAUACAAUUGUUUUACAAAUAAAUCAAAACGUGAAGAAAACAAGAUGAUUCACUUAUUAACUUCUUAUACCUUUAAAUUGAAAAAUUAGUUUGUUCAAUACCAUUACUAGUCAUCAUUAUUUUAGCAAAACAAACAUUUCCAAUAUACACACAAAAAUAUCUUGCUUUCCAGUGAACCAUGGAAUUAAUAUUUCAUCAGUUCUGAGAACUUCAGAAUGAUGUUGGGUGGAGUCAACCAACUUCUGGAAACUUUGAACUGGUCCUCCAGCCCACGAUGAUUGAACUACAUUCCCAAUCCCUCAGCAUAUCUUGGUUUUGCAUCACACACUUUCUAUUGCAUUAAGUCUGUGGAUUGGGCUGGCCACUCCAUACUGCUAAUCUCGUUGGUCUGGACCCAGGAUGCUUCUUGGUUACUGGUGUUUUGGGCCCAUUGUCUUUCAAGGCCAUUUCUUUUUUUUUUGUUUAAGGCAACAAAACCAUGUAUUCGGAAUAUAGUCCAUAAUCCCCAUUUGGCAUGCAAUAAAUAGACUGAAAACAAGACACAGCACCCCAACACAUUAUCUUGCAUUUAUCAGUGCAGAAAAUGUGACAGAAUUUCUCUCAAGGUCAGUGAAAUGCACUGCCUAAGUGUCUUUGAGAAAUGCAGAAGAAUCGUGGAAUGUAUAUAGUUCAAUCGAUCUGAGCUGGAAUACCAACAGUUGGAAUUGAAAUCUAGACUAACUUCUCAUUUAAAAGCAUUAGAAAGUAUAUUCAAAUUGAUAGCAUGUCAAUUGUCCCCAAACAGCAUUUUAUUUCAAACAUUUAUGAACGGUAACCACCCAAUCCCUGCAAAAUAUAUUUUCAGGAAUAUGUUCUCUGUAACCCUUUUUUUUUUUUUUUAAUUAUUU